UAUCUCUGUAGAGUCUGCAUAUCAAUAAGCGGAGGAAAAGAAACUAACUAGGAUUCCCUCAGUAACGGCGAGUGAAGCGGGAAGAGCUCAAAUUUGAAAUCUUCAAGGUUCUACCUUGACGAAUUGUAGUUUAAAGAAGUGUUUUCUGUUGGAGUUUUGGUAAAAGUUCUUUGGAAUAGGACAUCAUAGAGGGUGAGAAUCCCGUAUUUGACCAUUAUUUCCAACUUUGUGAUACACUUUCAAAGAGUCGGAUUGUUUGGGAAUGCAGUCCAAAAUGGGUGGUAAAUUUCAUCUAAAGCUAAAUACUGGCGAGAGACCGAUAGCGAACAAGUACCGUGAGGGAAAGAUGAAAAGAACUUUGAAAAGAGAGUUAAACAGUACGUGAAAUUGUCAAAAGGGAAGCGUUUGACACCAGUGUUGUUUUCUCGAAAAUCAAUUAAAAAUGGUGGGAUUUUGUGUUGUAUUGACUUUAUCAGCUUUCUGCACUUUUUUCCUAUCUUUUUUAAUGCACUUUUCGUUUAACAAGUCAACAUCAAUUUCUUUUGCUGUAAAAGAGUCAUUGGAAGGUGGCUUUCUUUUCGGAGAAAGUGUUUAUAGCCUUUGACUUCUGCAGUCGGAGAGAUUGAGGUCUGCAGCGUAGAUCCUUCGGGGUUAGAUACAUUUGUGCUAAGUUAUAGCCUUUCAUAGACAACUUGUUGACUAUGAUCAGUCAUGUAGCUUACUCGCUUAUGCUAUUUUACCUACGCUUAGGAUGUUGAGUAGCGACAUACGCAC
rnacentral:rRNA from 1 species